rnacentral:rRNA from 1 species
AACGAACGCUGGCGGCAUGCCUAACACAUGCAAGUCGAACGAGACCUUCGGGUCUAGUGGCGCACGGGUGCGUAACGCGUGGGAACCUGCCCUUAGGUUCGGAAUAACUCCCCGAAAGGGGUGCUAAUACCGGAUAAUGUCUUCGGACCAAAGAUUUAUCGCCUUUGGAUGGGCCCGCGUUGGAUUAGCUAGUUGGUAGGGUAAAAGCCUACCAAGGCGACGAUCCAUAGCUGGUCUGAGAGGAUGAUCAGCCACACUGGGACUGAGACGCGGCCCAGACUCCUACGGGAGGCAGCAGUGGGGAAUAUUGGACAAUGGGCGAAAGCCUGAUCCAGCACUGCCGCGUGAGUGAUGAAGGCCUUAGGGUUGUAAAGCUCUUUUACCCGGGAUGAUAAUGACAGUACCGGGAGAAUAAGCUCCGGCUAACUCCGUG